UAAUAGGUUGUCUUCUGUGUUCUCA
rnacentral:piRNA from 1 species